rnacentral:rRNA from 1 species
AUGGACGAAAGUCUGACCGAGCAACGCCGCGUGAGUGAAGAAGGUUUUCGGAUCGUAAAGCUCUGUUGUAAGUCAAGAACGUGUGUGAGAGUGGAAAGUUCACACAGUGACGGUAGCUUACCAGAAAGGGACGGCUAACUACGUGCCAGCAGCCGCGGUAAUACGUGAGGUCCCGAGCGUUGUCCGGAUUUAUUGGGCGUAAAGGGAGCGCAGGCGGUCAGGAAAGUCUGGAGUAAAAGGCUAUGGCUCAACCAUAGUGUGCUCUGGAAACUGUCUGACUUGAGUGCAGAAGGGGAGAGUGGAAUUCCAUGUGUAGCGGUGAAAUGCGUAGAUAUAUGGAGGAACACCAGUGGCGAAAGCGGCUCUCUGGUCUGUCACUGACGCUGAGGCUCGAAAGCGUGGGUAGCGAACAGGAUUAGAUACCCUGGUAGUCCACGCCGUAAACGAUGAGUGCUAGGUGUUAGGCCCUUUCCGGGGCUUAGUGCCGGAGCUAACGCAAUAAGCACUCCGCCUGGGGAGUACGACCGCAAGGUUGAAACUCAAAGGAAUUGACGGGGGCCCGCACAAGCGGUGGAGCAUGUGGUUUAAUUCGAAGCAACGCGAAGAACCUUACCAGGUCUUGAACAUCCCGAUGCUAUUCUUAGA